rnacentral:rRNA from 1 species
GUUUCAUUUGAAAUUUUUAUAGAAUUUUAUUUUUUAGUUAAAAAGCUAAAAUAAAUUCAAAAGACGAGAAGACCCUAUAAAUCUUUAUUAUUGUAUAAGUUUUAAUUGAUUUUGAUUAUUUUUAUUAUUAUUUGUUAAAUAAUUUUAUUGGGGUGAUAAUAAAAUUUAAAUAACUUUUAUUUAAUUUAAAUCAUUAAUUUAUGAUUAAUUGAUCCAUUUUUAGUGAUUAAAAAAUUAAGUUACUUUAGGGAUAACAGCGUAAUUUUUUUGGAGAGUUCUUAUCGAUAAAAAAGUUUGCGACCUCGAUGUUGGAUUAAGAUUCAUAUUUAAAUGCAGAAGUUUAAAUAUUAAGUCUGUUCGACUUUAAUUUCUUACAUGAUCUGAGUUCAAACCGGUGUAAGCCAGGUUGGUUUCUAUCUUUGAUUUAGAAAAUAUUUUAGUACGAAAGGAAUAAAUAUUUAUUAUAUAAUAAUUGUUUUGAGAAU